GUUAAGGUGGCAGAGCCUGGUAAAUUGCAUAAGACUUACAACUUUACACUCAGAGGUUCAACUCCUCUCCUUAACA
rnacentral:tRNA from 1 species